rnacentral:lncRNA from 1 species
AUUUAAAUAGAAAGAGGAAGAGACAUGUAAUCUUUUGUAAUCUAUUAAUUAUUUUAUAUUUUUAAUAUUUUAUAAUGUAAUUAUUUUUUAAUCUCAACCAAUAUAUUAAAUAAUAGAGAAUAUAAAAAGAUGAGAAACAAUAAUGCCACAAAUCUUAACUACUUAAUAUUUAUAGAGUUUGAAGAAGUCAAAAGGUACUAAACAAAAGAUUGCAUAAUUAAAUAUGAGAUUAUGGCAUUAAAAUUAGACCCUAAUGGCAUUAUUGAGGAAAGAUGAAUGAACAUUCCUUCCUAUAUUAAUUAACUAAAAUUUAAUUGUUGGCAUAAUAAAAUAAAUAAAUGUUUCAAGAUUUAUAAUUAAUUAUUAUUAAUGGUUACAUAUUAUUUUAAUAUUUUGUAAUGUAAUUAUUUUUUAAUCUCAACCAAUAUAUUAGAUAAUAGAGAAUAAAAAAAGAUGAGAAAUAAUAAUGCCACAAAUUUUAAAUAUUAAAUGUUUAUGGAGUUUGAAGAAACCAAAAGGCACUAAACAAAAGAUUGAAUAAUUAAAUAUGAGAUUAUGACAUUAAAAUUAGGCUCUAAUGGCAUUGUUGAGGGAAGAUGAAGGAACCUUCCUUCCUAUAUUAAUUAAUUAAUGUAUUUUAAGCCACUAAAAUUUAAUUGUUGGCAUAAUAAAAUAAAAUAAUGUUUCAACACUUAUAAUUAAUUAUUAUUAAUGGUUACAUAUUGUUGAAUUUAAAUAGAAAGAGGAAAAGACAUGUAAUCAUUUAUAAUAUAAUAAUUAUUUUCUAUUUUAAUAUUUUGUAAUGUAAUUAUUUUUUAAUUUCAACCAAUUUAUUAGAUAAUAGAGAAUAUGAAAUGAUGAGAAAUGGUGAUGCCACAUCACCUCUUGUAGUCCCAACUUUAUAUAUAUAGAUA